rnacentral:rRNA from 1 species
GAUGAACGCUGGCGGCGUGCUUAACACAUGCAAGUCGAACGAUGAAGCCCAGCUUGCUGGGUGGAUUAGUGGCGAACGGGUGAGUAACACGUGAGUAACCUGCCCUUAACUCUGGGAUAAGCCUGGGAAACUGGGUCUAAUACCGGAUAGGAGCGUCCACCGCAUGGUGGGGGUUGGAAAGAUUUAUCGGUUUUGGAUGGACUCGCGGCCUAUCAGCUUGUUGGUGAGGUAAUGGCUCACCAAGGCGACGACGGGUAGCCGGCCUGAGAGGGUGACCGGCCACACUGGGACUGAGACACGGCCCAGACUCCUACGGGAGGCAGCAGUGGGGAAUAUUGCACAAUGGGCGAAAGCCUGAUGCAGCGACGCCGCGUGAGGGAUGACGGCCUUCGGGUUGUAAACCUCUUUCAGUAGGGAAGAAGCGAAAGUGACGGUACCUGCAGAAGAAGCACCGGCUAACUACGUGCCAGCAGCCGCCGUAAUAC